CAAAGGUAGCAUAAUCAUUAGUCUCUUAAUUGGUGACUUGUAUGAAAGAUUGGAUGAAAUAUAUACUGUCUCUAAUUAAUUUAUAAAAUUUAAUUUUUUAGUAAAAAAGCUAAAAUAAGUUUAAAAGACGAGAAGACCCUAUAGAGUUUAAUGAUUUAUUUGAUUAUUAUUAAUAUAUAAAUUUUAAAAUUAAAAUUAAAUAAAUUAUUUUAUUGGGGUGAUAGAAAAAUUAAAUUAACUUUUUUUUUAUUUUAAACGUGAAUUUAUGAAUAGAUGAUCCAUUAAUAAUGAUUAAAAGAAAAAAUUACCUUAGGGAUAACAGCGUAAUUUUUUUUUUUAGUUCAAAUAGGAAAAAAAGUUUGCGACCUCGAUGUUGGAUUAAGAUAAAAUUU
rnacentral:rRNA from 1 species